rnacentral:rRNA from 1 species
GACGAACGCUGGCGGCGUGCUUAACACAUGCAAGUCGAACGAAGUGGCGAACGGGUGAGUAACGCGUAAUCAACCUGCCCUUCAGAGGGGGACAACAGUUGGAAACGACUGCUAAUACCGCAUACGGAAGGAGGGGAUUGCGUCUGAUUAGCUAGUUGGAGGGGUAACGGCCCACCAAGGCGAUGAACAGUAGCCGGGCUGGGAGGAUGAACCGCCACAUUUGGACUGGGACACGGCCCAGGCUCCUACGGGAGGGAGCAGGGGGGAAACUUCCGCAAUGGACGAAAGUCUGACGGAGCAACGCCGCGUGAGUGAUGACGGCCUUCGGGUUGUAAAGCUAUGUUAAUCGGGACGCGGUACCGGAAUAGAAAGCCACGGCUAACUACGUGCCAGCAGCCGCGGUAAUUC